GUGGGGAAUAUAGGACAAUGGGCGCAAGCCUGAUCCAGCCAUGCCGCGUGAGUGAUGAAGGCCUUAGGGUUGUAAAGCUCUUUCAGUGGGGACGAUAAUGACGGUACCCACAGAAGAAGCCCCGGCUAACUUCGUGCCAGCAGCCGCGGUAAUACGAAGGGGGCUAGCGUUGUUCGGAUUUACUGGGCGUAAAGCGCACGUAGGCGGAUCGUUAAGUCGGGGGUGAAAUCCUGGAGCUCAACUCCAGAACUGCCUUCGAUACUGGCGAUCUUGAGUCCGGAAGAGGUGAGUGGAACUCCUAGUGUAGAGGUGGAAUUCGUAGAUAUUAGGAAGAACACCAGUGGCGAAGGCGGCUCACUGGUCCGGUACUGACGCUGAGGUGCGAAAGCGUGGGGAGCAAACAGGAUUAGAAACCCGGGUAGUCC
rnacentral:rRNA from 1 species